rnacentral:rRNA from 1 species
UACGGAGGGUGCAAGCGUUAUCCGGAUUCACUGGGUUUAAAGGGUGCGUAGGCGGGUAAGUAAGUCCGUGGUGAAAUCUCUGAGCUUAACUCAGAGACUGCCGUGGAUACUAUUUGCCUUGAAUAUUGUGGAGGUGAGCGGAAUAUGUCAUGUAGCGGUGAAAUGCUUAGAUAUGACAUAGAACACCAAUUGCGAAGGCAGCUCACUACACAAUCAUUGACGCUGAGGCACGAAAGCGUGUGGAUCAAACAGG